GUGGGGAAUAUUGGGCAAUGGGGGAAACCCUGACCCAGCAACGCCGCGUGAAGGAAGAAGGUCUUCGGAUCGUAAACUUCUAUCCUUGGUGAAGAUAAUGACGGUAGCCGAGAAGGAAGCCCCGGCUAACUACGUGCCAGCAGCCGCGGUAAUACGUAGGGGGCAAGCGUUGUCCGGAAUGAUUGGGCGUAAAGGGCGCGUAGGCGGCCUGGUAAGUCUGGAGUGAAAGUCCUGCUUUUAAGGUAGGAAUUGCUUUGGAUACUGUCGGGCUUGAGUGCAGGAGAGGUAAGUGGAAUUCCCGGUGUAGCGGUGAAAUGCGUAGAGAUCGGGAGGAACACCAGUGGCGAAGGCGACUUACUGGACUGUAACUGACGCUGAGGCGCGAAAGUGUGGGGAGCAAACAGGAUUAGAUACCCGAGUAGUCC
rnacentral:rRNA from 1 species